rnacentral:rRNA from 1 species
CCCGGCUAAACUCCGUGCCAGCAGCCGCGGUAAUUCGGAAGGGUGCAAGCGUUAUCCGGAAAUCAUUGGGUUUAAAGGGUCCGUAGGGCGGGCUAAAUAAGUCAGGGGUGAAAGUUUGCAGCUCAACUGUAAAUUGCCUUUGAUACUGUUAGUCUUGAAUUAGUAGGAAGUGGUUAGAAUAAGUAGUGUAGCGGUGAAAUGCAUAGAUAUUUACUUAGAAUACCGAUUGCGAAGGGCAGAUCACUACUACUAUAUUGACGCUGAUGGGCGAAAGCGUGGGGGAGCGAACAGGAUUAGAUACCCUGGUAGUCCACGCCGUAAACGAUGGAUACUAGCUGUUCGGUUUUCGGACUGAGUGGCUAAGCGAAAGUGAUAAGUAUCCCACCUGGGGAGUACGUUCGCAAGAAUGAAACUCAAAGGAAUUGGCGGGGGCCCGCNCAAGCGGUGGAGCAUGUGGUUUAAUUCGAUGAUACGCGAGGAACCUUACCAGGGCUUAAAUGUAGUCUGACAGCUUUAGAGAUAGAGUUUUCUUCGGACAGAUUACAAGGUGCUGCAUGGUUGUCGUCAGCUCGUGCCGUGAGGUGUCAGGUUAAGUCCUAUAACGAGCGCAACCCCUGCCGUUAGUUGCCAGCGAGUCAUGUCGGGAACUCUAGCGGGACUGCCGGUGCAAACCGAGAGGAAGGUGGGGAUGACGUCAAAUCAUCACGGCCCUUACGUCCUGGGCCACACACGUGCUACAAUGGUCGGUACAAUGAGCAGCCACUGCGCGAGCAGGAGCGAAUCUAAAAAACCGUCACAGUUCGGAUCGGAGUCUGCAACUCGACUCCGGAAGCUG